CCUCACCACGCAACCCUCGCAUCCGCAAUUACUUGUCAAAGCAGCGGCUGCUCUGUCAAACCCUUGGCCAAUCCGAAACCCUAGCACCGCCGCAGUAAUCACCACGACUCCGACUGCCUCUCCACAACGGCGCCGUUUCCUUUCACCAACUGCUUCAGAAUUACUCAGAGUCCAUCGGUCCUUUUCAUCUUUCUCCCUUCGGCUUUCAGGUUUUCAAGUCUCUAAUUAGGUUACGGUUUCUCUUGCCGUCUCAGAAGCCUUCUUCCCGUUUUAAAUGCCAAAUUUCCAAAAUUUGAUCCCGAUCGGUUUUUUUUCUCAUUUUCCCUCCCAAUUUCUGUCUCACAAUUUUCAACCGAAGCCGUGGAUGCAAUUGAAGCCAUCAGGAAGCCGAUCUCCUUGAUUGCACCGUGGUUUACUGGGUUGAUGCUCUGAGGAUUGAGGAAGUAUUUGAAAAAUAUCUUCAAUGGAUCAUCUUCUGAGAAUGAUCGGGGCUAGAAUUCUAUCUUAAUUUUGCAUUCAAACUUUUGGAUUCAAACUUGCUGAUAGAUAUUGGUCUAGUAGACAGAAAUGGAAGCAAAGAUCGCAAAGGUAUUGGAUAGUGGUCGAAGAGUUAUGCUCGGCUUAAAGAGAAAGCGGGCAACUCGGUAUGCAACAUAUUUUCCUGGAGCUACACACAGAGUGUCACAGAGGCCGAGCUUGAAUAAGCUUGCCAAGCGAAGGAAAUUAUAUGGAUGCAAAAGUAAGCUUAUGAGCCGAGGAUCUCAACGAUCCUUACUUGUAUCUUAUUCAAAUUUUUCAAGGAGUGGUGUGCCACAGCGUCUAAUGUUUUAUCAGAGUGGUGAAUGGACUGAUUUUCCUCAGGAUCUUGUUGACUUGGUUAGGAAAGACCUACAGGUCAAGAAGGAAACUGUGAACAUCGAAUCACAUGGUGAACAUUAUGUGCUAGAUUUUUUGCAUAUGUUCCGAUUGGACUUGAAAACUGGUCUACAGCAACCUAUUGCUUGGAUUGAUGAAGCUGGUAAUUGUUUCUUUCCAGAAAUUUAUGCUGAGGACGAUGAUGAACCAAAUUGGUACUGCCCCCCUGAAGGUGGCAAAGGUUUGGAACCCUGGGCUGAAGAUCAGAGUGAAUCACAUGAGAUAAGACUGCACCUGGAAAUUGAAAUAAAUGGUAUGGGUCAAUCUGGGUUGAAUGAAUGUAGUGGGGAGUCGAAUGCCUUUGUAAAGAAAAUUCAGGUUGAUCAAAUACCUGCCAGCAAUCGUGAUGGUAUAGAAGUUGAAAAUAGUUGCAACAGGAAACCUGGUCUAAACGUUGAUGAGUAUUCUGAAGAUAAUGAAGCAAUGACAAAGAAUUUAGCUAGCGCAACUGAGAUUGAACCAAAUUGGUACUGCCCACCUGACGGUGGCAAAGGUUUGGAACCCUGGGCUGAAGAUCAGUGUGAAUCACGUGAGAUAAGACUGCACCUGGAAAUUGAAAUAAAUGGUAUGGGUCAAUCUGGGUUGAAUGAAUGUAGUGGGGAGUCGAAUGGCUUUGUAAAGAAAAUUCAGGUUGAUCAAAUACCUGCCAGCAAUCGUGAUGGUAUAGAAGUUGAGAAUAGUUGCAACAGGAAACCUGGUCUAAACGUUGAUGAGUAUUCUGUAGAUAAUGAAGCAAUGACAAAGAAUUUAGCUAGAGCAACUGAGAUUGAAAAGGAAAAGUUGGAUUGUGAUACUGUGCGUAAGAUAUUCCUUAAAGGAAUGAGCAACUUUGAUAGUGUAGAAGUACUUGAUAUAUACAAAUGCUCAAGUACUCUGAUGCAAGCACGAUUGGAACUUUUUCAGAAGCAGGUAGAAAUUAUGAAAACGUUUCGUGGUGAUGCAAAUAUACGAUACGCUUGGCUUGCUUCUUCUAAAGGAGAGCUGCCAACUAUAAUGAUGUAUGGGCUUGGUCAUUCUGGGCUAGCCACGAACAAGUCCAUAUAUGGAACUGGUGUUCAUCUCACAGAAGCUAGCUUCUCUAACACCUGUGCAAGUUCUUGUGAUGUUGACGAAAAUGGGGCACGACACAUGAUAUUAUGUCGUGUCAUAAUGGGAAAUAUGGAGUUACUUUACCCUGGAAGUAGGCAAUUCCAUCCCAGUAGCAAAGACUUUGAUAGUGGGGUGGAUGGUCUUCAGGAUCCAAAACAUUAUAUUGUCUGGAAUAUGAACAUGAAUACACACAUAUGUCCAGAAUUUGUUGUUAGUUUCAAGAUCACAUCCAAUACUGAAGGACAUCUAAUUGGAACUGCGACUAAAGUUGGUGCUUCUGGGGUUGGGACAUCCUGCCAAGGACCACAGGGCUCGUCUGCAGUUGAUACAGGGAGCGAGACUCAGCCACUUUCUGAUUCUGGGAAAUCUCAUGGAAACAAUAGUCAAAUGAUUUCGAAGACUGGAAGAUUUCAGGGGGAAACCACUACUACUGGUUCUGCUCCUCAAAGAACCCCUAAAUCACCCUGGAUGCCUUUCCCCAUGUUGUUUUCUGCUAUUGAAAAUAAAGUUCCUCCUGAAGAUAUGAAACAAGUUAAUGUUCAUUAUGACUUGUUCAGGGAAAGAAAGAUAACUCGUGAUGAAUUUGUGAAAAAGUUGAGGUUGGUUGUUGGAGAUACUUUGUUGAGGUCUACGAUAACAGAACUUCAGUGUAAGGGUUUUUGAGCACAGAACUCAACUGCAAAGCGUACGCUUGAGUUACAAGACGAUCUUGGCAUGUUUUAUUAUCAAAGAAGUUACUUGAUUGGACGAGUCCUUUUUAUUAGUUGAAAACAUGAAAUAAAGAGAUACCUCAUAAAGCAAUGAGUAAAUUGGAAGUUCCAAAGACGGGUUUACGCUGCCUCAAGUAGUGUGUGGUCCUGUCUCGAGUAGCCUGUCCAUAAAAGUUUCAGAUAUCUUAAGACAAUGAUGGUUUGAAGCUGGCAUGGUAGUAAUGUGUCGACAUGAAGUAAACGUUACCAUGGACCUACUUAAGGUUUGUAAUUUAGGAAUAUCGGAAUUCUUAGCUCUUGUUCCUUAUGGUGAAAUUUUAUCCAAACAUUUUACAUUUACCUUGGUGUAGUGCUUUAAGUUUAUGCUCUGUAAAGAAGUCUAGAUUUGAGUCCUGACGAUUUUAACGUGUUUUUCUGCUGCUACAUUUCUUGUGUAUAUUUUGGGACUCAUGGCAUGAAGAUGGUGGUGUUUUUCUCCUGUGAA